CUUGGUUUUGAUACGUUUUGGUGCAUCUUAUUUUAUCAACAGGGUAUUUUCGAUGUGUAUCUUGUGGAACCAGUCCUGCCAAUCUCAUCCAGUGACUAAAAAUGCCUAACCUCCUGGGAAUGGAGGUCAAGCAAGUUUCAGCCUCAUUUUACACAACACCUAUUCAAGAUGGAGGUGCUCUGGUUCAAAUCACUCUGACAAGCAGUCACUACCCCUGCCCCAAAGCCAAGCAUUGUAGGGAAUCUUAUCUGGUAACAAAGAGUUGAUCUGAAGUGAUGUUUGAAAAUGAGUGGGGUGGUUGUUUGUUGAAUCAGUGAGACAAUGAGUAGGGAAUGAGGGAGACUGUCAUUUAAUUGGUAAAGACCAGAGGUGCUAAUUGUUCUGCAAUUCCAUAGCAUUUCACUCAGCAUUCCACAAAAUCAAGCAUGCUCCCUCCCGAAAUAUUCACAUCGCCCCACUGAGAAACUGCCCCAGAGCACCCUGGGGAAGCUCAGCUUUGCAUUCCCACUUCUAUUAGACAGCCUUUGUGACACACACACCUUGUCCCUGUGAACAUGGUGAAUGGAAAUUAUCUUCUCCACAUUAACUUUGAAUACAUGGGCCAAGGAAAUGGCCCUAGGUGUAUACCAGUCCUGCUUCUUUCUCACUCCUUGGCUAGAGAAAGAAAGAAUUUAGCAAAUUCAUCAUUAGUCAAGAAUAAGGGGCUGCAUUUUGUUUUAAAAAUCCUCUCCUUCCAUUUUCAAUUCUAGUACAGGC
rnacentral:lncRNA from 1 species